UUAGGGCCCGAGCCAGCUGCAGAGCAGCCGGGCGUAGGCCCUAUUAUUCCCCAAGUGGUUUUUCUUUGUUUCUUUCUUUCUUUUUUCUUUUUCCUCCCCUUUGAACUGGAAAAUGGCCCACUUCCCACUGGCGAAAACUCAUGAAAUUUGGCAGGACGACCGGGCCUGGUGAAAAAUUCGAUAUUCUGAAGUCGCCCAAACAAUAAAAUGCAAAAUGGCUCCAUAGCGCCCCCUAAGGUGGAAAUUCACACUAUUGACUGUCACGCCUGUACGCUUUGUCAUAUUGACACAAAAAUUGACACACAUAUGUAUCUCAAUAAGAUCUACAAAAAAGUCAGUGCGGCCGUAUCUGUCAAAAUUACGGUUAAAGGGUUAUUUCGCAUUUUUUGCCGAUCUGCACACAUUGGAAUUUCGCUAACUCCUCCGAAGGCUUUCGUUCCACCGGCACCACAUUUGCUCAGGCCAAUCUACACCCCGUGGCCAUUAAAAGUUAUCAAAAUCAUGACGCUGCACCCCAAGGUUUAGGUUCUAGGGGGCGCCAAAGAUAACACUAAAAUCCACAUAUUUAAAAGUCUUAUAACUUUUUAUUUUUGUCCUCACUGGCCUCCAAGUUUUCUAGGAUGAUGCAAUGUCCAGCCAUCAACACAUUUGUGAAGGAAUUUUUACUCCCCAAAAGAGCGCCCCCCCAUGGCAGGAGAAAAAAGUCCAUUUUUUCUUGUCCCCUAAGGUGAAAAUACACAUUGUUGAGUGUCACGCCUAUACGCUUUGUCAAAAUGACACAAAAAUUGACACACACAUGUAACUCAAUAAGAUCUACGAAAAAGUCAAUGCGCGCGUAUCUGUCAAAUGUACGGUUAAAGGGUUAUUUCGCAUUUUUUGCCGAUCCGCACACAUUGGAAUUUCGCUAACUCCUCCGAAGGCUUUCGUUCCACCGGCACCACAUUUGCUCAGGCCAAUCUACACCCCGUGGCCAUUAAAAGUUAUCAAAAUCAUGACGCUGCACCCCACGGUUUAGGUUCUAGGGGGCGCCAAAGAUAACCCUAAAAUCCACAUAUUUAAAAGUCUUAUAACUUUUUAUUUUUGUCCUCACUGGCCUCCAAGUUUUCUAGGAUGAUGCAAUGUCCAGCCAUCAACACAUUUGUGAAGGAAUUUUUACUCCCCAAAAGAGCGCCCCCCAUGGCAGGAGAAAAAAGUCCAUUUUUUCUUGUCCCCUAAGGUGAAAAUACAUAUUGUUGAGAUUCACGCCUAUACGCUUUGUCAUAUUGACACAAAAUUUGACAAUCACAUGUAUCUCAAUCAGAUCUACGAAAAAGUCUAUGCGCGCGUAUCUGUAAAAUGUACGGUUAAAGGGCUAUUUUGCAUUUUUUGCCGAUUCGCACACAUUGGAAUGUGGCUAACUCCUCCUAAGGCUUUCGUCCCACUGACACCAAAUUUGCUCAGGCCAAUCUACACCCCAUGGCCAUUCAAAGUUGUAAAAAUCAUGACGCUGCACCCCACGGUUUACGUUCUAGGGGGCGCCAAAGAUGACCCAAAUAUCCACAUUCUUAAAAGAAUCCACAUCCCCCCCAUCCCCCAUCCCCCAUGGCAGGAGAAACAGUCAAGUUUUUCCUGCCCAUCACUCAAUGGCUCAUUCGCAUCACUCUCCCGGCAACACCGUAACGAGGAGCAACUUGCCGUUUGGAUAUAUCCUAGCUGUGUUUGUGCCCUCACUCAUGGUCCAGACUUUUUUCAAAUAGGACAUGUAGUUUGUCUGCAGCGAGUGUUUUGGUAGAAACUGCGCCUCCCAUUCAUUAUAAUGGGAAAUGACCACAGACAAGUGCGCACACCAUCUUUGGACCUUGAGUGUGACGCGAUCGGGAGGGGUAGGCGGUCGCGCUGGGGGCGGCGCAACGCGGCUCGGGCCCGACAGUGCCCCACCGGGGUCCUAGUUAGGGCCCGAGCGUAGCUGCUAAGCAGCUGCGAGAGCCCUAUUAUUCCCCAAGGGGUUUUUCUUUGUUUCUUUUUUCUUUUUCCUCCCCUUUGAACUGGAAAAUGGCCCACUUCCCACUGGCGAAAACUCAUGAAAUUUGGCAGGACGACCGGGCCUGGUGAAAAAUUUGAUAUUCCGAAGUCGCCCAAACAAGAAAAUGCAAAAUGGCUCCAUAGCGCCCCCUAAGGUGAAAAUUCACACUAUUGAGUGUCACGCCUGUACGCUUUGUCAAAAUGACACAAAAUUUGACACACACAUGUAUCUCAAUAAGAUCUACAAAAAAGUCAGUGCGGGCGUAUCUGUCAAAUGUACGGUUAAAGGGUUAUUUCGCAUUUUUUGCCGAUCCGCACACAUUGGAAUUUCGCUAACUCCUUUGAAGGCUUUCGUUCCACCGGCACCACAUUUGCUCAGGCCAAUCUACACCCCAUGGCCAUUAAAAGUUAUUCAAAUCAUGACGCUGCACCCCACGGUUUAGGUUCUAGGGGGCGCCAAAGAUAACCCUAAAAUCCACAUAUUUAAAAGUCUUAUAACUUUUUAUUUUUGCCCUCACUGGCCUCCAAGUUUUCUAGGAUGAUGCAAUGUCCAGCCAUCAACA